CAAAUGACUCUCGGCAAUGGAUAUCUCGGCUCUUGCAUCGAUGAAAAACGUAGUGAAAUGCGAUACUUGGUGUGAAUUGCAAAAUCUCGUGAACCAUUGAGUCUUUGAACGCAAGUUGUGCCCGAGGCCUCGUGUCGAGGGCACGCCUGCUUGGGGGUCAUGG
rnacentral:rRNA from 1 species